UCGGGAAUUUUGGGCAAUGGGGGCAACCCUGACCCAGCAACGCCGCGUGAGGGAUGAAGGCCUUCGGGUCGUAAACCUCUGUCGGGAGGGAAGAACGGUGGUCGUUCGAAUAGGUCGGCCAUUUGACGGUACCUCCAAAGGAAGCACCGGCUAACUCCGUGCCAGCAGCCGCGGUAAUACGGAGGGUGCAAGCGUUGUUCGGAAUCACUGGGCGUAAAGCGCGUGUAGGCGGCUUGAUAAGUCGGGUGUGAAAUCCCGGGGCCCAACCCCGGAACUGCACUCGAAACUGUCAAGCUAGAGUCCCGGAGAGGGUGGUGGAAUUCCGAGUGUAGAGGUGAAAUUCGUAGAUAUUCGGAGGAACACCAGUGGCGAAGGCGGCCACCUGGACGGUGACUGACGCUGAGACGCGAAAGCGUGGGGAGCAAACAGGAUUAGAUACCCCCGUAGUCC
rnacentral:rRNA from 1 species